GAUGAACGCUGACAGAAUGCUUAACACAUGCAAGUCAACUUGAAUUUGGGUUUUUAACUUAGGUUUGGGUGGCGGACGGGUGAGUAACGCGUAAAGAACUUGCCUCACAGGUAGGGACAACAUUUGGAAACGAAUGCUAAUACCUAAUAUUAUGAUAAUAGGGCAUCCUAUAAUUAUGAAAGCUAUAAGCGCUGUGAGAGAGCUUUGCGUCCCAUUAGCUAGUUGGAGAGGUAACGGCUCACCAAGGCGAUGAUGGGUAGCCGGCCUGAGAGGGUGAUCGGCCACAAGGGGACUGAGACACGGCCCUUACUCCUACGGGAGGCAGCAGCGGGGAAUAUUGGACAAUGGACCGAGAGUCUGAUCCAGCAAUUCUGUGUGCACGAUGAAGUUUUUCGGAAUGUAAAGUGCUUUCAGUUGGGAAGAAACAAAUGACGGUACCAACAGAAGAAGUGACGGCUAAAUACGUGCCAGCAGCCGCGGUAAUACGUAUGUCACGAGCGUUAUCCGGAUUUAUUGGGCGUAAAGCGCGUCUAGGUGGUUAUGUAAGUCUGAUGUGAAAAUGCAGGGCUCAACUCUGUAUUGCGUUGGAAACUGUAUAACUAGAGUACUGGAGAGGUAAGCGGAACUACAAGUGUAGAGGUGAAAUUCGUAGAUAUUUGUAGGAAUGCCGAUGGGGAAGCCAGCUUACUGGA
rnacentral:rRNA from 1 species